AGCGAACGCUAGCGGCGGGCCUAACACAUGCAAGUCGAGCGCAUACCUUCGGGUAUGAGCGGCGGACGGGUGAGUAACACGUAGGUAAUCUACCCUUUGGUGGGGAAUAACCCGGGGAAACUCGGGCUAAUGCCGCACGAGGUCUACGGAUCAAAGCCUUCGGGCGCCAGAGGAUGAGCCUGCGUUGCAUUACCUAGUUGGCGGGGUAACGGCCCACCAAGGGGACGAUGCAUAGCUGGUCUGAGAGGAUGAUCAGCCACACUGGGACUGAGACACGGCCCAGACUCCUACGGGAGGCAGCAGUGGGGAAUAUUGCGCAAUGGGGGAAACCCUGACGCAGCUACGCCGCGUGGGUGAUGAAGGCCUUCGGGUUGUAAAGCCCUGUCGGGAGGGACGAAUACUGACGGUACCUCCCAAGAAAGCACCGGCUAACUCCGUGCCAGCAGCCGCGGUAAU
rnacentral:rRNA from 1 species